AGAGUUUGAUCCUGGCUCAGGAUGAACGCUAGCGGCAGGCUUAACACAUGCAAGUCGAGGGGCAGCGGGGAGGAAGCUUGCUUUCUCCGCCGGCGACCGGCGCACGGGUGAGUAACACGUAUGCAACCUGCCCCUGUCAGGGGGACAACCCGCCGAAAGGCGGGCUAAACCCGCGUACAUGCCACCGGGGCAUCCCGGAGGCAGGAAAGGCUUCGGCCGGACAGGGAUGGGCAUGCGGCGCAUUAGGCAGUAGGCGGGGUAACGGCCCACCUAACCGACGAUGCGUAGGGGUUCUGAGAGGAAGGUCCCCCACACUGGUACUGAGACACGGACCAGACUCCUACGGGAGGCAGCAGUGAGGAAUAUUGGUCAAUGGUCGGGAGACUGAACCAGCCAAGCCGCGUGAGGGAUGAAGGUACAGAGUAUCGUAAACCUCUUUUGUCAGGGAACAAAGGCGGGGACGCGUCCCCGGAUGAGUGUACCUGAAGAAAAAGCAUCGGCUAACUCCGUGCCAGCAGCCGCGGUAAUACGGAGGAUGCGAGCGUUAUCCGGAUUUAUUGGGUUUAAAGGGUGCGCAGGCGGUCUGUUAAGUCAGCGGUCAAAGCCCGGGGCUCAACCCCGGCCCGCCGUUGAAACUGGCAGUCUCGAGUUGGAGAGAAGUAUGCGGAAUGCGCGGUGUAGCGGUGAAAUGCAUAGAUAUCGCGCAGAACUCCGAUUGCGAAGGCAGCAUGCCGGCUCCACACUGACGCUGAGGCACGAAAGCGUGGGUAUCGAACAGGAUUAGAUACCCUGGUAGUCCACGCAGUAAACGAUGAAUGCUGGCUGUCCGGGGGGACUGACCCCUGGGUGGCGAAGCGAAAGCGAUAAGCAUUCCACCUGGGGAGUACGCCGGCAACGGUGAAACUCAAAGGAAUUGACGGGGGCCCGCACAAGCGGAGGAACAUGUGGUUUAAUUCGAUGAUACGCGAGGAACCUUACCCGGGCUCAAACGGGGAGUGACUCAGGCAGAGACGCCUGUUUCCCACGGGACACUCCCCGAGGUGCUGCAUGGUUGUCGUCAGCUCGUGCCGUGAGGUGUCGGCUUAAGUGCCAUGACGAGCGCAACCCCCGCGUGCAGUUGCUAACAGAUAACGCUGAGGACUCUGCACGGACUGCCGGCGCAAGCCGCGAGGAAGGCGGGGAUGACGUCAAAUCAGCACGGCCCUUACGUCCGGGGCGACACACGUGUUACAAUGGGUGGUACAGCGGGAAGCCAGGCGGCGACGCCGAGCGGAACCCGAAAUCCACUCUCAGUUCGGAUCGGAGUCUGCAACCCGACUCCGUGAAGCUGGAUUCGCUAGUAAUCGCGCAUCAGCCAUGGCGCGGUGAAUACGUUCCCGGGCCUUGCACACACCGCCCGUCAAG
rnacentral:rRNA from 1 species